ACGUAGGUGGCAAGCGUUAUCCGGAUUUACUGGGUGUAAAGGGCGAGUAGGCGGGAUUGCAAGUCAGAUGUGAAAACUAUGGGCUCAACCCAUAGACUGCAUUUGAAACUGUAGUUCUUGAGUGAUGGAGAGGCAGGCGGAAUUCCCGGUGUAGCGGUGGAAUGCGUAGAUAUCGGGAGGAACACCAGUGGCGAAGGCGGUCUGCUGGACAUUAACUGACGCUGAGGCGCGAAAGCGUGGGGAGCAAACAG
rnacentral:rRNA from 1 species